rnacentral:rRNA from 1 species
GAUGAACGCUGGCGGCGUGCCUAAUACAUGCAAGUAGAACGCUGAAGGAGGAGCUUGCUCUUCUGGAUGAGUUGCGAACGGGUGAGUAACGCGUAGGUAACCUGCCUGGUAGCGGGGGAUAACUAUUGGAAACGAUAGCUAAUACCGCAUGACAACAGUUAUUGCAUGAUAACUGUUUAAAAGGGGCAACUGCUCCACUACCAGAUGGACCUGCGUUGUAUUAGCUAGUUGGUGAGGUAACGGCUCACCAAGGCAACGAUACAUAGCCGACCUGAGAGGGUGAUCGGCCACACUGGGACUGAGACACGGCCCAGACUCCUACGGGAGGCAGCAGUAGGGAAUCUUCGGCAAUGGACGGAAGUCUGACCGAGCAACGCCGCGGGAGUGAAGAAGGUUGUCGGAUCGUAAAGCUCUGUUGUAAGAGAAGAACGAGUGUGAGAGUGGAAAGUUCACAAUGUGACGGUAGCUUACCAGAAAGGGACGGCUAACUACGUG